AUUGAACGCUGGCGGCAGGCCUAACACAUGCAAGUCGAGCGGAUGAGGGGAGCUUGCUCCCUGAUUUAGCGGCGGACGGGUGAGUAAUGCGUAGGAAGCUGCCCGAUAGAGGGGGAUACCAGUUGGAAACGACUGUUAAUACCGCAUAAUGUCUACGGACCAAAGUGUGGGACCUUCGGGCCACAUGCUAUCGGAUGCGCCUACGUGGGAUUAGCUAGUUGGUGAGGUAAUGGCUCACCAAGGCGACGAUCUCUAGCUGGUUUGAGAGGAUGAUCAGCCACACUGGAACUGAGACACGGUCCAGACUCCUACGGGAGGCAGCAGUGGGGAAUAUUGGACAAUGGGCGCAAGCCUGAUCCAGCCAUGCCGCGUGUGUGAAGAAGGCCUUCGGGUUGUAAAGCACUUUCAGCGAGGAGGAAGGGUGGUGUGUUAAUAGUACACACCUUUGACGUUACUCGCAGAAGAAGCACCGGCUAACUCUGUGCCAGCCGCCGCUGUAAAAC
rnacentral:rRNA from 1 species